UGCCAGCCGCCGCGGUAAUACGGAGGGUGCUAGCGUUGUUCGGAAUUACUGGGCGUAAAGCGCACGUAGGCGGAUUAGUAAGUAGGGUGUGAAAUCCCCCGGCUCAACCGGGGAACUGCGCUCUAAACUGGAUGGCUUGAGUAAGAUAGGGGUGUGCGGAACUUCCGGUGGAGCGGUGAAAUGUGUUGAUAUCGGAAGGAACACCAGUAGCGAAAGCGGCACACUGGGUCUUAACUGACGCUGAGGCACGAAAGCUAGGGUAGCGAACGGGAUUAGAUA
rnacentral:rRNA from 1 species